rnacentral:tRNA from 1 species
CGGCCGCUGGCCGCGGCGUGGCAGUCGCUGCGCGCGAUCGAGUGGUCGGCGGCCGCGCCGGCGCUGGCGAUCGUGGCGCUGGUGGUGGUCC